rnacentral:rRNA from 1 species
GAGUUUGAUCAUGGCUCAGAACGAACGCUGGCGGCGUGCCUAAGACAUGCAAGUCGUACGAGAAAGCCACCUUCGGGUGGCGAGUACAGUGGCGCACGGGUGAGUAACGCGUGGGUAAUGUGCCUUCGGGCUCAGGAUAACUCUGGGAAACCGGGGCUAAUACCGGAUGAGACCACGAAGCCUCCGGGCUUUGCGGAAAAAGGUGGCCUCUCGACGAAGCUACCACCUGAAGAUCAGCCCGCGUCCCAUUAGCUUGUUGGUGGGGUAACGGCCUACCAAGGCUCCGAUGGGUAGCUGGUCUGAGAGGACGAUCAGCCACACUGGAACUGAGACACGGUCCAGACUCCUACGGGAGGCAGCAGUCGGGAAUUUUGGGCAAUGGGGGAAACCCUGACCCAGCAACGCCGCGUGAGGGAUGAAGGCCUUCGGGUCGUAAACCUCUGUCGGGAGGGAAGAACUGUCGGUGGUCCAAUAGGCCACUGGCUUGACGGUACCUCCAAAGGAAGCACCGGCUAACUCCGUGCCAGCAGCCGCGGUAAUACGGAGGGUGCAAGCGUUGUUCGGAAUUACUGGGCGUAAAGCGCGUGUAGGCGG